GAGGAGGAGGGCUAUGGGUUGAAACUGCAAAGUAUGGGAAGAAACUUGCGCACGUGUGCGGAAUUGACGGUACCAUGCGAAUAAGCAUCGGCUAACUCCGUGCCAGCAGCCGCGGUAAUACGGAGGAUGCAAGCGUUAUCCGGAUUUAUUGGGUUUAAAGGGUGCGCAGGCGGAUUGGUAAGUCAGCGGUGAAAGCCCCCGGCUCAACUGGGGAAUUGCCGUUGAUACUGUCAAUCUAGAGUACAGUUGAAGUGGGCGGAAUGUAGCAUGUAGCGGUGAAAUGCUUAGAUAUGCUACAGAACACCGAUUGCGAAGGCAGCUCACUAAGCUGAAACUGACGCUCAGGCACGAAAGCGUGGGGAGCAAACAGGAUUAGAUACCCUGGUAGUCCACGCUGUAAACUAUGAUCACUCGUUGUUGGCGAUAUACAGUCAGCGACUGAGCGAAAGUAUUAAGUGAUCCACCUGGGAAGUACGAUCGCAAGGUUGAAACUCAAG
rnacentral:rRNA from 1 species